rnacentral:lncRNA from 1 species
CCAAUAUCAUCAACGCAGUAAACGGCUACCAUCUACCCUACACACUGGCACUUACAUGGCAUAAAUUGGGCAAUCCUUUCCCCGCUCAACUUUCGAGCUACAGAUUAGCCUACUAUCGAUAUUCGCAGAUACUCUGUGCUGGUUAUGAUAACAUAUCCAGAGGCCUUACAGUAAUACACUAUCUAGAAGACUUCUUGUUAAUCAAAGAAAGCAUAUUUUUCACUAGAAGCCUCACGGCAGCUUAGUCUGGUUGACCACUUGGGCGUCCCAGUACCCCAUAAGAAACAGAAGGCCCAGACACUAUCUUCACAUUACUGGGCAUAUGACUUGAGUCGGCAUCCAUACAUGCAAGUUACCACAAGACAAAUAGGGAACAUUCUCAACUACAUCAAUCACUGCCUCCUGCUUAGUACUUACAACUGCAAGGAACUACGAUCCCUACCAGGUUCCUUAAUUUUGCCAUGCUUUCACAUCCAGAGUACUUUCCCCUUUUUUCCACACUUCCAACAUGACG